rnacentral:rRNA from 1 species
GGGUUGUGAGGUUAAGCGACUAAGCGUACACGGUGGAUGCCCUGGCAGUCAGAGGCGAUGAAGGACGUGCUAAUCUGCGAAAAGCGUCGGUAAGGUGAUAUGAACCGUUAUAACCGGCGAUGUCCGAAUGGGGAAACCCAGUGCAAUUCGUUGCACUAUCGUUAACUGAAUACAUAGGUUAACGAGGCGAACCGGGGGAACUGAAACAUCUAAGUACCCCGAGGAAAAGAAAUCAACCGAGAUUCCCCCAGUAGCGGCGAGCGAACGGGGAGCAGCCCAGAGUCUGAAUCAGCUUGUGUGUUAGUGGAACGGUCUGGAAAGUCCGACGGUACAGGGUGAUAGUCCCGUACACCAAAAUGCACAGGCUGUGAACUCGAAGAGUAGGGCGGGACACGUGGUAUCCUGUCUGAAUAUGGGGGGACCAUCCUCCAAGGCUAAAUACUCCUGACUGACCGAUAGUGAACCAGUACCGUGAGGGAAAGGCGAAAAGAACCCCGGCGAGGGGAGUGAAAAAGAACCUGAAACCGUGUACGUACAAGCAGUGGGAGCACCUUCGGGUGUGACUGCGUACCUUUUGUAUAAUGGGUCAGCGACUUAUAUUCUGUAGCAAGGUUAACCGUAUAGGGGAGCCGCAGGGAAACCGAGUCUUAACUGGGCGUUAAGUUGCAGGGUAUAGACCCGAAACCCGGUGAUCUAGCCAUGGGCAGGUUGAAGGUUGGGUAACACUAACUGGAGGACCGAACCGACUAAUGUUGAAAAAUUAGCGGAUGACUUGUGGCUGGGGGUGAAAGGCCAAUCAAACCGGGAGAUAGCUGGUUCUCCCCGAAAGCUAUUUAGGUAGCGCCUCGUGAACUCAUCUUCGGGGGUAGAGCACUGUUUCGGCUAGGGGGUCAUCCCGACUUACCAACCCGAUGCAAACUACGAAUACCGAAGAAUGUUAUCACGGGAGACACACGGCGGGUGCUAACGUCCGUCGUGAAGAGGGAAACAACCCAGACCGCCAGCUAAGGUCCCAAAGUCAUGGUUAAGUGGGAAACGAUGUGGGAAGGCACAGACAGCCAGGAUGUUGGCUUAGAAGCAGCCAUCAUUUAAAGAAAGCGUAAUAGCUCACUGGUCGAGUCGGCCUGCGCGGAAGAUGUAACGGGGCUAAACCAUGCACCGAAGCUGCGGCAGCGACACGAUGUGUUGUUGGGUAGGGGAGCGUUCUGUAAGCCUGCGAAGGUGACCUGUGAGGGUUGCUGGAGGUAUCAGAAGUGCGAAUGCUGACAUAAGUAACGAUAAAGCGGGUGAAAAGCCCGCUCGCCGGAAGACCAAGGGUUCCUGUCCAACGUUAAUCGGGGCAGGGUGAGUCGACCCCUAAGGCGAGGCCGAAAGGCGUAGUCGAUGGGAAACAGGUUAAUAUUCCUGUACUUGGUGUUACUGCGAAGGGGGGACGGAGAAGGCUAUGUUAGCCGGGCGACGGUUGUCCCGGUUUAAGCAUGUAGGCUGGUUAUCCAGGCAAAUCCGGAUAAUCAAGGCUGAGGUGUGAUGACGAGGCACUACGGUGCUGAAGUAACAAAUGCCCUGCUUCCAGGAAAAGCCUCUAAGCAUCAGGUAACAUCAAAUCGUACCCCAAACCGACACAGGUGGUCAGGUAGAGAAUACCAAGGCGCUUGAGAGAACUCGGGUGAAGGAACUAGGCAAAAUGGUGCCGUAACUUCGGGAGAAGGCACGCUGGUGUGUAGGUGAAGUCCCUGCGGAUGGAGCUGAGACCAGUCGAAGAUACCAGCUGGCUGCAACUGUUUAUUAAAAACACAGCACUGUGCAAACACGAAAGUGGACGUAUACGGUGUGACGCCUGCCCGGUGCCGGAAGGUUAAUUGAUGGGGUUAUCCGUAAGGAGAAGCUCUUGAUCGAAGCCCCGGUAAACGGCGGCCGUAACUAUAACGGUCCUAAGGUAGCGAAAUUCCUUGUCGGGUAAGUUCCGACCUGCACGAAUGGCGUAAUGAUGGCCAGGCUGUCUCCACCCGAGACUCAGUGAAAUUGAACUCGCUGUGAAGAUGCAGUGUACCCGCGGCAAGACGGAAAGACCCCGUGAACCUUUACUAUAGCUUGACACUGAACAUUGAGCCUUGAUGUGUAGGAUAGGUGGGAGGCUUUGAAGCGUGGACGCCAGUCUGCGUGGAGCCAACCUUGAAAUACCACCCUUUAAUGUUUGAUGUUCUAACGUUGGCCCCUUACCGGGGUUGCGGACAGUGUCUGGUGGGUAGUUUGACUGGGGCGGUCUCCUCCCAAAGCGUAACGGAGGAGCACGAAGGUUAGCUAAUCCUGGUCGGACAUCAGGAGGUUAGUGCAAUGGCAUAAGCUAGCUUGACUGCGAGCGUGACGGCGCGAGCAGGUGCGAAAGCAGGUCAUAGUGAUCCGGUGGUUCUGAAUGGAAGGGCCAUCGCUCAACGGAUAAAAGGUACUCCGGGGAUAACAGGCUGAUACCGCCCAAGAGUUCAUAUCGACGGCGGUGUUUGGCACCUCGAUGUCGGCUCAUCACAUCCUGGGGCUGAAGUAGGUCCCAAGGGUAUGGCUGUUCGCCAUUUAAAGUGGUACGCGAGCUGGGUUUAGAACGUCGUGAGACAGUUCGGUCCCUAUCUGCCGUGGGCGCUGGAGAAUUGAGGGGGGCUGCUCCUAGUACGAGAGGACCGGAGUGGACGCAUCACUGGUGUUCGGGUUGUCAUGCCAAUGGCACUGCCCGGUAGCUAAAUGCGGAAGAGAUAAGUGCUGAAAGCAUCUAAGCACGAAACUUGCCCCGAGAUGAGUUCUCCCUGAGACUUUAAGUCUCCUGAAGGAACGUUGAAGACGACGACGUUGAUAGGCCGGGUGUGUAAGCGCAGCGAUGCGUUGAGCUAACCGGUACUAAUGAACCGUGAGGCUUAACCUUACAACGCCGAAG